rnacentral:rRNA from 1 species
GAAUACAUCGGAAUCUACUCUGUCGUGGGGGAUAACGUAGGGAAACUUACGCUAAUACCGCAUACGACCUACGGGUGAAAGCAGGGGAUCUUCGGACCUUGCGCGAUUGAAUGAGCCGAUGUCGGAUUAGCUAGUUGGCGGGGUAAAGGCCCACCAAGGCGACGAUCCGUAGCUGGUCUGAGAGGAUGAUCAGCCACACUGGAACUGAGACACGGUCCAGACUCCUACGGGAGGCAGCAGUGGGGAAUAUUGGACAAUGGGCGCAAGCCUGAUCCAGCCAUACCGCGUGGGUGAAGAAGGCCUUCGGGUUGUAAAGCCCUUUUGUUGGGAAAGAAAUCCAGCUGGCUAAUACCCGGUUGGGAUGACGGUACCCAAAGAAUAAGCACCGGCUAACUUCGUGCCAGCAGCCGCGGUAAUACGAAGGGUGCAAGCGUUACUCGGAAUUACUGGGCGUAAAGCGUGCGUAGGUGGUCGUUUAAGUCCGUUGUGAAAGCCCUGGGCUCAACCUGGGAACUGCAGUGGAUACUGGGCGACUAGAGUGUGGUAGAGGGUAGCGGAAUUCCUGGUGUA